AUUGAACGCUGGCGGCAGGCCUAACACAUGCAAGUCGAACGGUAACAGAGGGAAGCUUGCUUCCUUGCUGACGAGUGGCGGACGGGUGAGUAAUGUCCGGGGAUCUGCCUGAUGGAGGGGGAUAACCACUGGAAACGGUGGCUAAUACCGCAUAACGUCGCAAGACCAAAGUGGGGGACCUUCGGGCCUCAUGCCAUCAGAUGAACCCAGAUGGGAUUGGCCAGUUGGUGAGGUAACGGCUCACCAAAGCGACGAUCCCUAGCUGGUCUGAGGGGCUGACCAGCCACACUGGAACUGAGACACGGUCCAGACUCCUACGGGAGGCAGCAGUGGGGAAUAUUGCACAAUGGGCGCAAGCCUGAUGCAGCCAUGCCGCGUGUAUGAAGAAGGCCUUAGGGUUGUAAAGUACUUUCAGCGGGGAGGAAGGGUGUGAGUUUAAUACGCUCAUGCAUUGACGUUACCCGCAGAAGAAGCACCGGCUAACUCCGUGCCAGCCGCCGCCGUAA
rnacentral:rRNA from 1 species